GAUGAACGCUGGCGGCGUGCCUAAUACAUGCAAGUCGAGCGAACAGACGAGGAGCUUGCUCCUCUGAUGUUAGCGGCGGACGGGUGAGUAACACGUGGAUAACCUACCUAUAAGACUGGGAUAACUUCGGGAAACCGGAGCUAAUACCGGAUAACAUGUCGAACCGCAUGGUUCAACAGUGAAAGACGGUCUUGCUGUCACUUAUAGAUGGAUCCGCGCCGCAUUAGCUAGUUGGUAAGGUAACGGCUUACCAAGGCAACGAUGCGUAGCCGACCUGAGAGGGUGAUCGGCCACACUGGAACUGAGACACGGUCCAGACUCCUACGGGAGGCAGCAGUAGGGAAUCUUCCGCAAUGGGCGAAAGCCUGACGGAGCAACGCCGCGUGAGUGAAGAAGGUCUUCGGAUCGUAAAACUCUGUUAUUAGGGAAGAACAAAUGUGUAAGUAACUAUGCACGUCUUGACGGUACCUAAUCAGAAAGCCACGGCUAACUACGUG
rnacentral:rRNA from 1 species